AGACCCUAAGCCUUGAGAGGCCUGGACGCUUCCAUUCUCACGCGGGGAGUCCUGAUGGAGAAUGAAAAUCCACGCGGAGAGAGGCCGGCUGCCUCUGCCUUCCCAGCCAUCUCAUUUGAGGCCCACACCUGUGAGUGAACCCACCUGAGAACAGGAGGCCGGCGCUUUUGCAGCUCCCACGCAUGGUCGCCAGUUUGCUGGCUGCCACGCUGCUGUGAGGCAGCCCCAGUCCUGCCACCGCACCAGCCGGGACCCUCCUCCAGUCUCUCGGCCCCUGGACCAGCCGCCUCCCCUGAGGACUUACAGUUCCAGCAUCGGACGCGAAGAUGACAGCCUUGCAGAGAGCGGGUAAGCAGGCCCAGUUCAGCUCUGUCUUUCGUCUCUCCGUCUUCAGCAAUUCUGCGUCAUGGUGGAGGGAGACGGGCUGCGGCCUCCGUCUUGGC